UACGAAGGGGGCUAGCGUUGCUCGGAAUUACUGGGCGUAAAGCGCACGUAGGCGGCUUCUAAGUCGGGGGUGAAAUCCUGGAGCUCAACUCCAGAACUGCCUUCGAUACUGGAAAGCUCGAGUCCGGGAGAGGUGAGUGGAACUGCGAGUGUAGAGGUGAAAUUCGUAGAUAUUCGCAAGAACACCAGUGGCGAAGGCGG
rnacentral:rRNA from 1 species